AGUGAACGCUGGCGGUAGGCCUAACACAUGCAAGUCGAACGGCAGCACAGUAAGAGCUUGCUCUUACGGGUGGCGAGUGGCGGACGGGUGAGGAAUACAUCGGAAUCUACUUUUUCGUGGGGGAUAACGUAGGGAAACUUACGCUAAUACCGCAUACUACCUACGGGUGAAAGCAGGGGAUCUUCGGACCUUGCGCGAUGGAGUGAGCCGAUGUCGGAUUAGCUAGUUGGCGGGGUAAAGGCCCACCAAGGCGACGAUCCGUAGCUGGUCUGAGAGGAUGAUCAGCCACACUGGAACUGAGACACGGUCCAGACUCCUACGGGAGGCAGCAGUGGGGAAUAUUGGACAAUGGGCGCAAGCCUGAUCCAGCCAUACCGCGUGGGUGAAGAAGGCCUUCGGGUUGUAAAGCCCUUUUGUUGGGAAAGAAAAGCAGCAGGUUAAUACCCCGCUGUUCUGACGGUACCCAAAGAAUAAGCACCGGCUAACUUCGUG
rnacentral:rRNA from 1 species